AGAAACAACGUAAAUAUUCUUUACCGUUUGCAGCACAGCAAACUCUACGCAUGAAAAUGGCACUGAGAGCCUUAUUGCCAAGGAGAAGUCAUUGCUAACGAGAGAAAAAAACGGACUCCUUGCUGUUUUGGCAUCGUCAUAUAUGAGCCACAGCAACUUACUGGAAGUAGGAGCUACAGCCACACAGAAUCACUCUAUGGGCGUUGAACUGAACACCGUCUGCGAUGAGGACCACGUCACAAAGCUGUCCUGCGAGCCGAAGCUUGUUGAACACUUCGAAAGCCGGGGACAUCAGUACUCGCUCCAUGUCGUGUGCCAUCAUUAUUCAAAAAUGUGGAUGUCUCGUCUCUUUCUCCUUUUUAUACCACUCGAAAUGACGUGUUCUAAUACGCAAAAACCGCACUUUUGCGUCACAGUGUUCUAAGAUACCGUAACGUUUAUUUUUAAAUCUAUAUUUGAGAUUCGAAAUUGAUUGGGGGGGAAAAUAUUUUCUAUGCGCAAUCAGCUGUACAAGAAGAACAAGUUAAAUGUUUUUAACAUCACUUUUGGAAAAUGUAUACCGUGCUUAUCUUAGCAUUUACGUUUUGUAUUAUGUGUGAAUUGUCAAAUCACGAAUUCCCGAAAUAAAUAAAAUAGUUCCUUAAUUAAUAAAAAAAUGUUUUCAUAUUUUUUCUCCUCGGCUACGUUUCUAAAAAUGAAAAACAAAAAAGGUCCUUUACAUGACUGUCAGGAACGAGGCUAAAGUUCGUAUCUUAUUCCCUAGUUUCCACCUUAAACAUAAGCCACUGAGCAACAAAUGUCCACAGGACAUUAUUUUAUGGGCUAAAUCUGGUCGGCCCGUUGUGGCCUUUAUUUAGAACAAAAAUGGUCCUUGAAAAUUGGGCUGCGUAGUCCGUCUGUUUUGGUCCACAUUUAGCACAAGACGGACGUAUUUUUCGGACCGCAAAUAUCCCCAAUACAGUCAUGAAAACAUAUUGCAGCAAGUGUGGAAUUAUCACAAUGAUUAUUGUGCUGUGUACAGUACACUUCACCCAAAUCCUGAACACUAUUGCAUAUAAUCGAUUAUAUAUUAUAGAGCAGUUAUGUUACAAUCAAGGUUUUUAAGUUUGUUUUCCUGCAGCUUCACGGCACCCAUCGUUCUUGCGCACCCCCACACAGAUGGACGAGUUAAGUUAGAAGUGGAUGGGAGUAGCGGCAGGACAGAUAUUCCGAGGGCACCCAUUGAACGAUGGCAUAACAAUGUGGAACAACUAAAAUAACCAAUCAGCACAGGACAACAAGAAGCAGACGGCGUAACAAGGACCGAAAGCCUGGGGGCUGAAGCUAAUUCAGUGGUAAAGACAUGAGCUCGUCUCUUGGAGGUCGACGUGAGGAGGUCUGCACUGGAAAAGACCACACUGAGACCAAACAGCUGUCUCCCUUCCUCCAUCUCUGAGCUACAGGAUGGUAUGUGUCACCUAACCUCUGCACACUGCACGCAGUGAUUUGCAGUGAUUUGCAUAUGCCAUAGGAUGCUUGGCCCUUUGCCUCCUUCCUGAUCCAAACUUCUAGGGUCUCCAUGGGUAACCAGCAUCCUGAUGCCAUGAAGAGGGUGUUGAGGAAGAGGAGAAGCUUCAUGGUGUAGUAAUACCAGCCACAUUUAAAUCAACAUGUAGGAAAAAAAAUCACCUGAGCUGCAAAACACAUAGCAAUCCAGUGGGGGCGCUGUUUGGCUCAUUGAGUUUGGAUGCUAUGUCUAUGAUGGGAAGGUCACCUGUUCAAUGUCACUACUGGGCCCCUCCGUAAGGCCCUUAACCCACCGUUACUCCAGGCACUGUUUGGCCCUGCUUUCUCAAAAAUGUCGCUUUUUAUGAAAUUGUCUGUUAAAUCUAACAUUCAUUUAAUUGAUAGAAAUGUGCAUCACUGGUGAAAGGUAAGCAAGUACUUAACAGUGAUAAAUUCAGUGUCUUACUUUUAACAGGGUUCUAAAUACAUAUAUAAAGCAAGCUGUGAUUGGAAAGCAGUUCAUACCCAAAAUGGUACAAUGGCCAAAAAAAUCCAUCCGUCUGUGUCUGCACUCGUUCUGCCGUCUUAUUCGAAACCAAAGCGGGUCGUACCUCCCACUUCACCUGGUGUCAGUCAGAAUGGCACAGGUGUAAUAUUCACUGUCGAGGUGUCACUUUUCAUUCAUGUUGUAAUUAUGGAGACCCCAGCUGCCUUACUGUGAGGUCAAAGCGAAACGUGGCUUUCAUGGGUUUUUCAAAUGUUGCCACACGAAUGCAGCAGUGCUAUUACCUGUCAAAGUUUACAGGUUUUCAGUGACUGACAUUUCAGUCACAUUUAACUGAUUUUACUGGGUCACAUGAUCGGGGGCGGGGCCUCAGGAUUGCAUUUCUCUCCACAGUGGGAUUUCAGUCACUACAGUCAUUGAUAAAACAAACACCCAGCAAAGUAUUUUUAUUCUGUUCUUCAGCUGUAUGAUCCACUGAGGUGAAAUAUCGUUCUCGUUGGUUAUAGAGCAAAUGAAAUGAUAAAUAGAAUAUAAAUAGAGACAUAUAAACGUGAUAUUUUAAGACAUAGAUAAAUAAAAUGCAGUUGAGCCACCUGAGUUACUAGUCCUUAAAACAGACCCAGUCUUAGACUUGAACUCUCAACAAAGACACUGUGCUUUCUGUGAACUUUCCGAGGGAACCCUGGGCUUUGAGUUAAAGCCAGCGGUUCAUUUUCAAAUAAUGCCAGAUAAAAAUAAAUUCCCCCAUGCCCACUGGCGCCCUGCUCCUCAAUCACAUCAAUGCAGUGUAACGGCAGUAAGCUUUAUUACAGUGUUGGCGUUGUGAUGGGAAGCAUACUCAAACUGCAGAAUCAUGUGUAUGCCCCCCCACCCCCACACACAAA